rnacentral:rRNA from 1 species
AGUGAACGCUGGCGGUAGGCCUAACACAUGCAAGUCGAACGGCAGCACAGGAGAGCUUGCUCUCUGGGUGGCGAGUGGCGGACGGGUGAGGAAUACAUCGGAAUCUACUUUUUCGUGGGGGAUAACGUAGGGAAACUUACGCUAAUACCGCAUACGACCUACGGGGGAAAGCAGGGGACCUUCGGGCCUUGCGCGAUUGAAUGAGCCGAUGUAGGAUUAGCUGGGUGGCGGGGUAAAGGCCAACCAAGGCGACGAUCCGUAGCUGGUAUGAGAGGAUGAUCAGCCACACUGGAACUGAGACACGGUCCAGACUCCUACGGGAGGCAGCAGUGGGGAAUAUUGGACAAUGGGCGCAAGCCUGAUCCAGCCAUACCGCGUGGGUGAAGAAGGCCUUCGGGUUGUAAAGCCCUUUUGUUGGGAAAGAAAUCCAGCUGGCUAAUACCCGGUUGGGAUGACGGUACCCAAAGAAUAAGCACCGGCUAACUUCGUGCCAGCCGCCGCCGUAA